rnacentral:lncRNA from 1 species
GGAUCGGGAGUAUGACGCCCUCGUUCUCCCUUCCCUCCUUGCUUCUGCCGAGGGCUCUGGCCUCGCCGCCGAGCACGUGACCAGCGGUAGGCCGCCAUCUUGGGUGCGGGUAGGUUGACGCCGACGCCGCCCCCCUUCCGCCCUCUUCCGCCCCGGAGGCCCGCGACGGAGAGGCUCCCCGGCCGGGCGCUGCUCCGGGACCAGCCCCCGGGGAAUAUAAACAGUUACUUGAGAGUAGAGGAUGUUUCUGAUGUAUUUUAGCAUCUCUGAGUGCCAGAAGAAGUAGGGGCUUACCAUCAGGAUCAGGAUGUAUCUG